rnacentral:tmRNA from 1 species
GGGGCUGAUUCUGGAUUCGACGGGAUUUGCGAAACCCAAGGUGCAUGCCGAGGGGCGGUUGGCCUCGUAAAAAGCCGCAAAAAAUAGUCGCAAACGACGAAAACUACGCUUUAGCAGCUUAAUAACCUGCUUAGAGCCCUCUCUCCCUAGCCUCCGCUCUUAGGACGGGGAUCAAGAGAGGUCAAACCCAAAAGAGAUCGCGUGGAUGCCCUGCCUGGGGUUGAAGCGUUAAAACUAAUCAGGCUAGUCUGGUAGUGGCGUGUCCGUCCGCAGGUGCCAGGCGAAUGUAAAGACUGACUAAGCAUGUAGUACCGAGGAUGUAGGAAUUUCGGACGCGGGUUCAACUCCCGCCAGCUCCACCA